UGACGGGCCGGUGCCGGGGAGGGGGCAAGCGCCAGGGGGGGGGAUGGUGUUCGGAGGGCAAUGCAAGUUUCACGGGUUGUGAGAAGUUUGUGGGCUGUAAAGGUCAUCAAUCCAGUCUGCCUCAGUGAGACACCUGGGACUUACCCCCGUGCCCUGGAUCACUGUCACAGCAGCUCAGAAGCCCAUCAACAAACAGUUACUAGCUGUCUCCAUUCGGGUGUGUCAUCAGGGACAGGAGACAAAUAGCUGAUCUCCAAAAAGAAGGAAUCUGCUAUUCUGAAUACCUG